GGUUGGGUCUGAUUUUACCGGUGAGUUUUGAAACUAACAAUGUAUGGGUUCUAUUUGGUUUUCUUACAAACCAUGCCAUACCACACACGCAACUUGUAUUCUCUCUCAUCAAUAUCAACACUUUCUAUUCCUCUCUCUUUGCAUUCCUGACUCUGCAUUCCAUCUCUUUAUCUCAUCUUUCUUCAAUAUCUCCUCUCUGUACCUAACCGCAUUUUCAUCGAAACCGACAGAUCUGAAGUGUAAACCGGCAAUGGUGAUAUGGUCCUGCAUGUGGAUUCACUGUGACUUUGCGAUGAUGAUGGGGUUGCGCGAUUGAAGAUGGUGGAGCAGCUUUCAUAAUUGGAAAGGAAACCAAAUAACAAUAGUGAGAAAAUAUCACAUGAGACAUUUUAUGUUUUGGAGUUUUUAUGGGAAUGAUGGCUUUCUAUGCUUCAACAAAAAAUUUGAGUUUGCAUCUAAGCUAAGAUGUAGAACAUACCCACUUGAUGAUUGGGAUAUGGUGAUUUGCAACAUAACUAUAAUGCAGAAUUAUGUAUUCAUUGCCAUAUGCUACAACUCUCUCACCCUCUAAUCUGCUAUAGAAUCAAUAGGAAUCGGCAGCAAAACCUGAGAAAAAUCCUCAAGAAGUUGAAAGCUAAGAGAAGCCAGAAGAAGAAAAGCAGUCAAAUAACGGUGGAUAUAGGAUAAGUGCUAUGACUAAUUAUAAUAUUGUUGCCUCCGCUACUUCUUAUCUGCACGCUCAGACAAAGAGCAUACUUCCGUUCAAAUAAGGUCUUAACAUGACGGACCCAUAUGUGACAUCUUUGAUUUCAA